rfam:Saprolegnia parasitica CBS 223.65 unplaced genomic scaffold supercont2.3, whole genome shotgun sequence.
ACCCUGGUGUUUUUCAACACCACCCUUUUAUGAAGAAACGUCAUC